rnacentral:lncRNA from 1 species
CCUAAAAUAUAAACUAAAACCAGCUGAACAAUAACCAAGUUUCCUUAACCUAAUACCUCAGAAUACAAACUAUUCAAAUAAAAUGCUAGCCAUUCAAUAUUUACUUGCUUUACAACCAACAAUCCUCAAAUAUACCAAAUACGUCAAGGAUGCAAUGAGCCCAUGAUGAAUUUUUCUGACUUAAACUACAUGUGUCCCAAAAGAACACAUAACGUAUAAUCUAAUAAAGGAUGUCAUACAACCUAUGACGCGUGGCUCAAUUUGGUGGUUCGACAAGCUCCAAAGCUGCUCAAUUCGACUGCAGAUGUCUGAUAAAGAAAAAUGUAAAAA